rnacentral:rRNA from 1 species
GACGAACGCUGGCGGCGUGCUUAACACAUGCAAGUCGAGCGGAAAGGCUCCUUCGGGGGUACUCGAGCGGCAAACGGGUGAGUAACACGUGAGUAAUCUGCCCUUGGCUUCGGGAUAGCCACCGGAAACGGUGAUUAAUACCGGAUACGACCACUUCUCGCAUGGGAUGGUGGUGGAAAGUUUUUCGGCCAGGGAUGUGCUCGCGGCCUAUCAGCUUGAUGGUGAGGUAAUGGCUCACCAUGGCUUCGACGGGUAGCCGGCCUGAGAGGGUGACCGGUCACACUGGGCCUGGGACACGGCCCAGACUCCUACGGGAGGCAGCAGUGGGGAAUAUUGGACAAUGGGCGGAAGCCUGAUCCAGCAACGCCGCGUGAGGGAUGACGGCCUUCGGGUUGUAAACCUCUUUCAGCAGGGACGAAGCGCAAGUGACGGUACCUGCAGAAGAAGCACCGGCCAACUACGUGCCAGCAGCCGCCGUAAAAC